UGAGUUGUAGUUUAAUUUGGCAAAACGUCAUUUUUUGGUGAUGAAUUAUAUCAGUUCGAACCUGAUCGACUCAG
rnacentral:tRNA from 1 species